AAGAAUUCCGUGUGAAGGUACUGUCAAUGGCUUCAGAGUUGUCAAACAUUUUAAAAUACGUUAUUCACAGACUAUUUUUGCUAACCUUCUCACAAGACGCGGUUGCAGAAAUUAAAACGUUAAUGGUUUCUGUGAAAUAUUCAGCCCCACAUCUUUAACAAGAAGAGUAAAGAGAAACGCUAAUCACCUGAUAGUAUCUCUUAGAGAAAAGUCCCCCCGAGGUUGACUGGAAUGAUCCUGGGUGUUACCUAGUCCGAAGGAAAAUAUUUUAGUGGAUGGAGUUUCGCAAACCCUCCCAGUCAGUCGUCCACUACAACUACGCUAUCUGCAACGAAAUGGGGACCCGAUCGGCCCACCAAGGACUCCUGUUAUCAACCGCAACUUCUCUUAUUCACUGUUACAAAAUACAUUCAAAUAUAUGAAUAUGUUUUUAUCUUUACUGCAAUAUCUAAUGCAACAAUAUUCAAUUCCUACUUAAUUGUAUUUGUUUUAUAAAUGAAAUUUAAUAAAAUAUUUGUUAAAGUAAUUUUUCCAACCGCUAAGUUACUUUUGUGGACUAUAUUACAUUUAUCUAUUCGUUUCAUGUGAUUGUUUAUAAAAAUAAAGAUUUAACCUUG